GUGGCGCACGGGUGAGUAACGCGUGGGAACCUACCUUUUAGUACGGGACAACGUUUGGAAACGAACGCUAAUACCGUAUACGCCCUCCGGGGGAAAGGUCAGCCGCUGAAAGAGGGGCCCGCGUCUGAUUAGCUUGUUGGUAAGGUAACGGCUUACCAAGGCAACGAUCAGUAGCUGGUCUGAGAGGAUGAUCAGCCACACUGGGACUGAGACACGGCCCAGACUCCUACGGGAGGCAGCAGUGGGGAAUAUUGGACAAUGGAGGCAACUCUGAUCCAGCAAUGCCGCGUGUGUGAUGAAGGCCCUAGGGUUGUAAAGCACUUUCAACGGUGAAGAUG
rnacentral:rRNA from 1 species